rnacentral:rRNA from 1 species
GAUGAACGCUGGCGGCGUGCCUAAUACAUGCAAGUCGUACGAUGGAGCUUGCUCCAUAGUGGCGAACGGGUGAGUAAUACAUAAAUAAUCUGCCCUUUAGACUGGGAUAACCAUUGGAAACGAUGGCUAAUACCGGAUAGGUAAUAGGAAGACAUCUUCUUAUUAUUAAAGUAGGUUUUCUGCACUAAAGGAUGAGUUUAUGGCGCAUUAGUUAGUUGGUGAGGUAAUGGCUCACCAAGACGAUGAUGCGUAGCCGACCUGAGAGGGUGACCGGCCACACUGGGACUGAGACACGGCCCAGACUCCUACGGGUGGCUG